rnacentral:rRNA from 1 species
AUGGUGGCCACACAACUACUCAUCUCCCUCGGUGGCUACCUCCUCUAUGCCAUAUGCAUGGUGGCGCUGACGUGUCUGGUAGGCAGUGCAUUUUUCGCUAUCUUCCCGUCGUUAGAGAAUAAAAUCCCCCCCUACAUUCAGUUCUCGAUCAUCCAGGGCGUCUGCUUCGCGCUCAAGAAUUUUCGGUGGGUUGUUCUCAUCUCAGAAUCCCACUACACCUUACCUUCCAGUGUCUCCCAAGUGAUAGCCAUACUUAUUUGCAUCGCUAGCUAUCUAGUCUGCAUGUUCCUAUUGCCGGCGCUCCUGAUCAACACAUGCUCCCGGGUCUGGACUGCAACAGUGAGGCAGCAGUGUGAUGUUAAUCAGCUACCCGAUGGGGUAAAAACCAUCUGGCUUGUUGUCAACUUCGUGGUGACGGAUAGGGUCGCAGGCUGUUAUGUAGACCCUGCUAUUAUCUCUGGAUUUUUCUCCUACAUCAUGUUCCUCGCCGGCUACCUCGUCUACAUCGCCUGCAUGCUGGCGUUGUCAGCUCUGGUGCUCUUCAUAGCCGGCGCCGCCAUGGAGAAUUCAAAGACCUGGUGGCCUGAGCUGAUCCACACCAGCAUCGUCGGCCUCGCCCUCCUCCCGCUCAACAAGAUGUGGGGCUCGCCGUUCCAGAGGCCUUCCGCCGACUCCGACACGGCGGGAGCGGCGCUUGUCGGCCUCGGUGGCUACUUCGCCUACAUCCUCUGCUCCAUGGCGCUGUCCUACAACAUGUUCGGCGCAUCUCUGCUGCCCAGGACCUUCACCAUCGGGCUCACCUUCUCGCUGUUGGAUGUGUUCCUCAAGCCUUCCAGCUACUCUGACAUGGUGGCCACGCUUGGGACCAUCCACGGCGCUCAUGGCCUUCUUGGUUCUGGCGGCCAUGUCGUUUCUCGUCUUCAUAUUCCUGCAGACGUGGGUCGACAUGCUGCUUCCUUCUGCCUGGCAUCACCACCCAGCACGAACGUUCGCCACCAUCGUCAGCCUCACCUUCGGGGCGAUGAGAGCCAUGCUGGACAUCGUACAGGCCGUCGACGAGCCUUCCGUCUUCUCCGGCAUGAAAGCGGGGCUCCUCGGCGUCAUCCACAUGAUAAACGGUUACCACGGCGCCUACACGGGGAUCAGGAACCUCACCGUUCUAGCCGUUCCCUUGUUAUCCAUGGAGUCGAUGCGCGUGGUUUCCCCUUGGUGUACAGGUUGUACACCAAGGCGGCCUUGAUCGUCGCCCUAGGCCUCGUGUUAACCAUGCCGCCAGCUGGGCUCACCACCGAGGAACCUGCCUUCACCUUGGUUUCAGAUGAUUUCGUCCAGCAAACCAUUAACAGCUUCGUCACCUCACAAAUCCAAAUGCCCGAUGGUGGAGGAACUAAGCAACUUACUAAUUAA